rnacentral:rRNA from 1 species
CCCUUAGAUGUUCUGGGCCACACGCGCGCUACACUGACGAAUGCAACGAGCUUAUAACCUUGUCCGAAAGGUCUGGGUAAUCUCCAAAUUUCGUCGUGAUGGGGAUAGAUUAUUGCAAUUAUUAAUCUUCAACGAGGAAUGCCUAGUAAGCGCAAGUCAUCAGCUUGCGUUGAUUACGUCCCUGCCCUUUGUACACACCGCCCGUCGCUCCUACCGAUUGAAUGGUCCGGUGAAGCGUUCGGACCGUGGCCUUUGGACGGUUCGCCGUCUGUUGGCUGCGGGAAGUUCGUUAAACCUUAUCAUUUAGAGGAAGGAGAAGUCGUAACA